rnacentral:misc_RNA from 1 species
ACCAACAGUUUUCCCUCGGCGACCGGUAGUCUUGGUGUGCUGACCACGGACACGGAGACCCCAGUAAUGCCUCAGACCACGAUGGUUCCUGAUCUUCUUCAAACGCUCCAAGUCAUCUCUCAGCUUCAUGUCAAGAGCAUUUGAUACCACCUGUGAAUACUUUCCAUCCUUGUAGUCCUUCUGUCUAUUCAAAAACCAAUCGGGAAUUUUGAACUGUCGGGGGUUCGCAACGACAACCAUGAGAUUG